rnacentral:lncRNA from 1 species
CUUUAUAACAUACACUCACAUUGUAAAGACUGUAAACCAAAAACAUAAUAUUAUAGGGCAUAUUUUUUUUGUGAACACUGCCAAAACUAAUGUCAUCAAUGCAAUCAUAUCUUUCAUCUAACAUUACACAUGUAUUUUUGAAGUGAGGUCUCAUUAUUAUUCAUUUACAUAUAAUUUAUUGAAUAAUGUGUAGUUUACUUAUUGAACUACA